AGAAACGCCUGGAAAUAUUGGAAGAACAAAUAAGGAUGUGAGGUGUGAUGUGACCAGUUUCUUCAACCUCCUGCCGCGGAAGCCUAGAGACUCAAAGUCUGAGAUAAUUGAAACUGUUGCCCCUAAGGCAUGAACCCUCAUGGAUCCUCAGAGGAAAAAAAAAGGAGCAGAAAAUAUAUAAAAACUGUACCAUAAAGAGGAGGGCUAUGGAAUCUGUUUUCUUCACUACAGGACCACCAGUGCAGUCACGACUUCCCAACCCCUGUAUGGCACUCACAGACUCAUAUCGUUGAACAAGUCUAUAGAGUCCAGGGAGUGGAAUAUGGGAAUUUGAAUAUUCUUGACUCAAGGACUGGCAAUAUUUGGAGGUGUGGCCUAGAGGGAGGAAAUGUGUCACUGUUUGUGCGGACUUUCAGACCCUCAUCCUAUCUGCCCAGAGACCAGUCUUACCUGCCUGCCAGCCUUCAGAAGAAGAUGUAGACCUCUCAGCUUCUCCUGCACCUUGCUUGCCCGGAAGCUGCCAUGCUUCUACUCUGAUGAUAGUGGACUGAACAAGUGUAAACAAGCCCCAAAUAAAUAUUUUCC
rnacentral:lncRNA from 1 species